UACGUAGGGGGCUAGCGUUGUCCGGAUUUAUUGGGCGUAAAGAGCGUGUAGGCGGCCAGUUAGGUCUGGUGUGAAAACUCGAGGCUUAACCUCGAGAUGUCAUCGGAAACCAUCUGGCUAGAGUCCGGAAGAGGAGAGUGGAAUUCCUGGUGUAGCGGUGAAAUGCGCAGAUAUCAGGAAGAACACCAAUGGCGAAAGCAGCUCUCUGGGACGGUACUUACGCUGAGACGCGAAAGCGUGGGGAGCGAACAGG
rnacentral:rRNA from 1 species